UACAGAGGUCUCAAGCGUUGUUCGGAUUCAUUGGGCGUAAAGGGUGCGUAGGUGGCGCUGUAAGUCUGGGGUGAAAUUUCGGAGCUUAACUCCGAAACUGCAUUCGAUACUGCGGUGCUUGAGGACUGGAGAGGAGACUGGAAUUCAUGGUGUAGCAGUGAAAUGCGUAGAGAUCAUGAGGAAGACCAGUGGCGAAGGCGGGUCUCUGGACAGUUCCUGACACUGAGGCACGAAGGCCAGGGGAGCAAACGGG
rnacentral:rRNA from 1 species